UGCCAUUCCCUUCUCCAAGGGAUCCUCCUGACCCACCGAUUGAACCUGCAUUUCCUUCACUGGGAGGCAGAUUCUUCACCACUGAGCCUCCUACUAAGUCCCACUCAAGUGUUACAGAGGAUUUAUCUUCUCUAAUUUGGUGGCGCCGAGGGUAACCAGAGGUGGCAUACAGCAUCCCCAUGUACCUGCACACUUGUUCUGAGAAAACGGAAGCAAACCCAGCUGGUUUGGGGAUCUGAGACUUUGGUGGUUCCAAUGCC
ensembl:lncRNA